GUGUUGAGAUAGAUAGAGAAAUAUAUUAGUUAACGGAAAAUUGCUUUGAAGAUUUUUCGUGUUCCUUUUUGUUAUUGAAGAUUGUGGCGACUGUGGUCUUUUUGGAACUUCUUUUAGUUGUAGAUACUUGUUGUUGGGUUGGGUGGUUGAAGUGUGGAUUCGUUACAACUCUGCAAAAUUUGGACAAGUUUAUGCAGUAGCUUCUACUCGUCUUGUUACAGAACAAGUGAUUCAGACUCAUGUGUUCUAGAGAACAAAUCUAUUCCUUAAUUUGCAAGUAUGGAGGGGCCGAAGGGUUACACAAUCUAGCUUUUUGGAUUUGUGCUAGCUCUGUUAUGUCAUCAGGGGGGCGGAGGGUUACAAAAUCAAGCUGCAAGACAAAAGAAGCUAUUAUAUUCUAAAAUUGCAUGCAGUUUUGGAAUUUGUAUACCUUCAGCGGAUCAAUUAGCUCG